GGAGCCGUAGGGAAACCGAGUCUGAAUAGGGCGAAUUAGUAUCAUGACGUAGACCCGAAACCAUGUGACCUACCCAUGAGCAGGUUGAAGGUGCGGUAAGACGCACUGGAGGACCGAACCAGGGCACGUUAAAAAGUGCUUGGAUGACUUGUGGGUAGCGGAGAAAUUCCAAACGAACUUGGAGAUAGCUGGUUCUCUCCGAAAUAGCUUUAGGGCUAGCGUCGACAUUAAGAUUCUUGGAGGUAGAGCACUGUUUGGGUGAGGGGUCCAUCCCGGAUUACCAAUCUCAGAUAAACUCCGAAUGCCAAUGAAUUAUGGUCGGCAGUCAGACUGCGAGUGCUAAGAUCCGUAGUCGAAAGGGAAACAGCCCAGACCACCAGCUAAGGUCCCAAAAUAAUUGUUAAGUGGAAAAGGAUGUGGGGUUGCACAGACAACUAGGAUGUUAGCUUAGAAGCAGCUAUUCAUUCAAAGAGUGCGUAAUAGCUCACUAGUCGAGUGACCCUGCGCCGAAAAUGUACCGGGGCUAAAACAAUUUACCGAAGCUGUGGAUACCUUUAUAGGUAUGGUAGGAGAGCGUUCUAUGUGUGAAGAAGGUGUACCGUGAGGAGUGCUGGAACGCAUAGAAGUGAGAAUGCCGGUAUGAGUAGCGAAAGACAGGUGAGAAUCCUGUCCACCGUAAGACUAAGGUUUCCAGGGGAAGGCUCGUCCGCCCUGGGUUAGUCGGGACCUAAGGAGAGACCGAAAGGUGUAUCCGAUGGACAACAGGUUGAUAUUCCUGUACUAGAGUAUGUAGUGAUGGAGGGACGCAGUAGGCUAACUAAAGCAGACGAUUGGAAGUGUCUGUCUAAGCAGUGAGGUGUGAUAUGAGUCAAAUGCUUAUAUCUGUAACAUUGAGCUGUGAUGGGGAGCGAAGUUUAGUAGCGAAGUUAGUGACGUCACACUGCCAAGAAAAGCUUCUAGCGUUUAAACAUACUCUACCCGUACCGCAAACCGACACAGGUAGUCGAGGCGAGUAGCCUCAGGUGAGCGAGAGAACUCUCGUUAAGGAACUCGGCAAAAUGACCCCGUAACUUCGGGAGAAGGGGUGCUGACUUUAAGUCAGCCGCAGUGAAUAGGCCCAAGCAACUGUUUAUCAAAAACACAGCUCUCUGCUAAAUCGUAAGAUGAUGUAUAGGGGGUGACGCCUGCCCGGUGCUGGAAGGUUAAGAGG
rnacentral:rRNA from 1 species